ACUUUGGCAUUGAAAAUGCAUUUUUAACUCUCAUUAUAUUCAAGGUAUCUCAUAUCAAGCCUGAUCUGAGUGGUUCAUUAUUAUAUAUUACCCUAAUUAAGUUAGAAAAAUAAAUACACAAUUUAAUAGAAACAAUUUAAAUUUAAGAACAAAUGUAAUUGUUAUGCACUUAUAUUUCUUUAUUAAUUGAUGAUAAAUUUAUUAUGUAUCUCUAUUGAAGUAUAUAUAAUUUAUAUAUUCAUCCUGUGUAGAAGUAACUUAUGUAUAGUGAUUAAUUUCUGGAACAUUCAAAUUAGCAUCAGCCACAAUGUAAAUAUUUAUGACCCCUCAAGUGGAACCUGCUGUUUUCAUAACUACCAAAGUUAAACUCACCUAUCUGAUAUAAGAGAAUGGAAAGAGGUAAAGCAGGUUUACAACAUACUAUAUUACACUGUAGUUCCCAAGUAACUUAAUACCCUUGCAGAACAAAUCACAGGUCAGAACACUCCUUCCAGGCGGUUCAUUUGAACAGAAGCAUUGAAAGAUAAAUGUUUAUUAGUGCCUAACUGCUUAAAAGUUAUAACUUGAAAUAUUAUGUUUGAGCAUUGGAAAUUAGACCAAAUGAGUUUAAACUGGACAAAUACAAGAGUUUUCUGGAAAUAUGAACUUUUAAACAUGUGUAUUUCAUGAUUCAGUUAAAAUGGAGGGAACUACAUGUAUAUAACCAUUUCUAACAGUUGCAAACUUUCAAGUCUUGGAGUCACAUGAGAUGUUUCAACUCAAAGGAUGUCAGAUGAGGGAAAAGUGAUAAAUGUACUGUUGAAUACAGAAUGCUUACAAAACCAUCCUGGACCAACUGCAGAGCAAGGUUAUUGGCAAAACAAGCUACAGUAAGAUGGCCAUUGUUCUAUUUCGCUUUUUGUAUAAAGAGGAGGAAUAUGCCGGAAAAUCAUUGACAGGGAAAGCAUCCAAAAGUGGCGAAAAAAGGCCACCUGUUGACCAAGAGAAGUUGACAGGAAUUUACGAUAUCAUCAAAAGGAAUUUUCCGCAUGUCACACCAGUGAUGGUCAGGGAAAAGCUGCGUGACAUUGUCAAGCCAUCUCGUGCCAACAAAACAGUGAAAAAAUAAAUAUGUGUACAAAAUAAACUGUGGCGGUUUUAGCCAUUCAGAACAAUAUAAAUGAGAACAUUUGAAAACUUGUUUUACUAUAAUUAUAUAUGGUGUAAAUAAAUCUUUAAUGUGUCAUAAUUUUACAGCCUUGUCAAUUCAAAAUCAUUGUUGCACUAGUGCAACUCCCAUGUGAAAAAGAUUGUGUGGGACCUUUUUUUACAGACUUUUUAAACAGGUAUCUACACAAGUGUUAUAUCAUGGACAUUGACCAUGGAUGUCAUAAAAGAUUCCUCAAAAUUGGUUUUGAACAUGGAUAGAAUGGACAUUGUCCAUGGAAAGAAUGGACAUUGUCCAUGGAAAGAAUGGACAAUGUCCAUGGUAAGAAUGGACAUUGUCCAUGGCAAGAAUGGACAUUGUCCAUGGACAUCAUGGACAUUGUCCAUGGGUAUCAUGGACAAUGGACAUGGAAAGCAUGGACAUGGAUAGCAUGGACACUGUCCAGGGAUUUAAAGAAUUGUCCAUGGACAAGUGUUUCAAUACUCCAUGGACACUGUCCAUGCUUAUAUCCAUGGAAAUCCAUGGACAUUCUGUAGCCGGG